rnacentral:lncRNA from 1 species
AGAAAAAGCGCUAUAUAAUUUAAAGGAAAAAGACUCCCCAUUUUCUCGAACGGCUCUCUGACUCCGGUCAUUGGUCAAUCUCUUCUUCUCCCAGGCCCCGUUCUGGCCAUUUCGAUCCAACUUCGUUAAAGGUAUUUUCUUUUCCUUUACUUAUCAAUUUUAGGGUUUUCUUUCUUGAUUUUAGUUUCAUUUUGAGUUUUCGACCUCGCUCGAUCAGCGAAAUGUGCUACUUUCUGGUUUUAGGGUUUCUCCCUCUAUAAUAGAUUUCUUAUUUGGUUGAAUUUCGCAUUGUGGGAGUUUCAUUGCUGGGUUUCGAAUUGGGGGACUUUGCAAGAUCUGAAGAAUUAUUGUUUGAAAGGAACGAGUUUAAGGUGGUUUUGAAAAGUCUCAAGUUCUUGGAUGUUGAUGUGCAUUUGGAUUUGGAUUAAGAACUUUUUGGUCAGUUGAGUUUCCAUCUUGACGUAAAGAUGGAUUAAAAGUUUCAACCCCUUUCUUGUUUUGUGCGGUUUACUCUGGAUCUAAAUGUUUAAUUUCGUUGAUUUUAGAAUUAGUAAUAGAGGAUUUCUAAUAAAUUUAAUUUCAAAUCAUCUGUUUUGGAUUUUGGAGGACUGAUAGGAAGGUAAACUCCCCAAAAGUUUUGAAUUAUCAUAUUAUUUAUCUAUUUCCAUCGCCUUAGGUUUAUUAUUUUCUUCACUUGAUUGAAUAUUUUGACAUAUGAAAUGCGAUUGAGACAGACUCCAGCUUAAUGAAGCAACCUGAAUGCAAAAUGGGGGAAGGGUAAGAUAAGGAACUCAAAGGUAUUUCUUGAAUUCUGUAGUCAUCUUCUUUUCUUUCUUUUUUUCUAUUUGCUAAGAAAAGAUAAGAUGGUCCAAAAAGAAAAAGGGGGACGCGUUUGGAUUCGGUGUUUAGCUUUUUCUUUUGGUUUGGCGUAUGUUUUAUUUGGCUUUUGCCUUUACCCUUCCUUCGGCUCAGGUGUGAGUGUCUGAGAUUAAUUGAUAUGGGUAUUUUCAAUUUUCUUCUAGGCAUUUUCAUGUAUUUGUUGGAUUUUUAGAAGGUCAUAUCUACAUAUACAUAUUGUAAUAAGCCCAAUUGUCCAGGCCUGCAUACGAGCCCAACACAACAAAAGCAAUAAAACAGGCCCAAAUUAAAACCCAACAGCCCAAGACCCAAACCGAGCCUGCUAGCCCAAAAACACCAAAAUUUCAGAAACCCUAACAGUUUCUGCCCCAGCGCCGCAGCAACUGGCGUUGCAACUGCUUCCGCGCGGCGCGCCCGUCAAUCCCGCACCUUGCGCCCCUCGCCGCCGCGAAUCUCACGCCUUUCCCGCAAGCACGUACCUGCAACAAACACGAGCAGCACGCAAAUAGGAUAACAGAUUAAGAGAUGGGAUUUUUUGGGGAUUCGUUUGAUUUUAGUUUGUAUUUCUCGGCUAUAAAAGGAGCCGAUUAAUUUAUGAAAUGGGGGGAUUUUUUCAGUGUAACAGAUACGAAAAACACAGAGAAAUAAGAGAUAAAAAGAUUUUUUAUUUUUCUUGCUCUCUGUUCUUGUACUAUUUUGUUUUUUUUAUUUUGUUCUUCCUUGAUUUUUAAAACAAAAAUAAACGAGAAGAAAGGGAGAGGGGGAAGAGAAACUUACCUUCGCCGGAUUCGGCGCCUUCUCCGUCGACGGAGGCCGUGGGCAUCAACUGAACGGCGGCGGCAUGGAGGGCUGGGGGGUUGAAAACCUAGCAGAGGUUUCCCCCCUUGUUGUAAAGUUUUUUUUUUUAGAAAAAUGAAAUGAAAUAGUUUUUAGGAAUUUUUUUUUGGUUUUAAUAAUAAAGAUAAAACGGCGCCGUUUUGAAGGGGCCAGACCCGCGCGGUGACCCGACACGGAGGGAAGGAUCCGCGCGUUCUGGCAUGAAUGGGUAAUUUGUGCGUUUAGUCCUUUUUCUUUGCAUUUCGUUUCAAUUAAACCCAUUUAUUUCUUUUUUAAAAUUUGGGCCGC